rnacentral:tRNA from 1 species
AGCAGCGGGGCUUAGUGGAAAGGGCCGAGCUUGGGAGUCAGAGGAGGUGAGUUCUAAUCCCACCUCUGCUA